CCUACGGGAGGCUGCAGUAACGAAUAUUCCGCAAUGGGCGAAAGCCUGACGGAGCAAUGCCGCGUGUGGGAUGAAGCGGUUCGCCGUGUAAACCACUGUCAGAAGAAAAUCAUCUUCAAAGGAAGGGGCGACUAACUCUGUGCCAGCAGUCGCGGUAAUACAGAGGCCCCGAGCGUUAGUCGGAAUCACUGGGCUUAAAGGGUGCGUAGGCGGACGUGUAAGUGCUUUGUGAAAGCCCUGGGCUCAACCCAGGAACCGCAGGGCAUACUGCACGUCUUGAGGAAGCUAGAGGCGGGUAGAACGAUCGGUGGAGCGGUGGAAUGCGUAGAGAUCGAUCGGAAUGCCAAGGGUGAAGACAACCCGCUGGGGUUCCUGACGCUGAGGCACGAAAGCGUGGGGAUCAAACAGGAUUAGAUACCCGUGUAGUC
rnacentral:rRNA from 1 species